UCCCGUUUGUCACGGGCAGUCUCUCUAGAGUUCCCAGCAUAACCUGAUGGCAACUAACGACAGGGGUUUCGCUCGUUAAGGGACUUAACCCGACAUCUCACGACACGAGCUGACGACAGCCAUGCAACACCUAUAUACGUUCCACCUGUGAAGGUGUCACUCUACUUUCAUAGAGCUAAUCCGUACAUUUCGAGCCCGGGUAAGGUUCUUCGCGUUGCAUCUAAUUAAGCAACAUGCUCCACCGCUUGUGUGAGCCCCCGUCAAUUCCUUUGAGUUUCAACCUUGCGGUCGUACUUCCCAGGUGGAUUACUUAAUGCUUUCGCUCAGAGGCGUGCUGUGUAUCGCACACUUCGAGUAAUCAUCGUUUAGGGCGUGGACUAC
rnacentral:misc_RNA from 1 species